GAAACCCUAAGGCAGCAAUUGGCCGCCGAGCCUCCGGCCGUGAUUUGUCCAGGGCCUCUCGCAAGCACCAUCAGGCGACCUACGGAUUCUUGCUUUUGAUAUUGGUUCGGCUGGCACACGGGGUCGUCUGCCUCGACGGCGGCGCCUCGCCGUCGGUAUCCAUCUUGAGAGCAGCAGCGCAACCUGCAGGCCGCCAUUCCUCUCCUCGGACACAGCAGCUCUACCACGCUGGCCAUUGCUGCCAAUUGCUCAUUCGUCAUUCCCCAGCGAUCCCAACGAUGCCCGAGAGAGGUGAUGUGCUUCCGUUGCCAAAGCUGUUCCCCUUUUCAUAACAGACGGCAACCAAACAAUGCCAGUGAUUUCAUUACAUUGUUUCAGGUCACGGUGUCAAUCG
rnacentral:lncRNA from 1 species